UACGUAGGGGGCAAGCGUUUGUCCGGAUUUAUUGGGCGUAAAGGAGUCGUGAGAGCGGCCACACAGGUCUGCUGUGAAAACUCGGGGCUUAACCCCGGGCCUGCAGUGGGUACGGGCAGACUAGAGUGCGGUAGGGGAGACUGGAAUUCCUGGUGUAGCGGUGAAAUGCGCAGAUAUCAGGAGGAACACCGGUGGCGAAGGCGGGUCUCUGGGCCGUAACUGACGCUGAGGAGCGAAAGCGUGGGGAGCGAACAGG
rnacentral:rRNA from 1 species